GGAAGCAGUGAGACCAAGCUCAGGGUGAUCUUAACAGCAGGAAGACACCAGAUCAUUCUUUCUGCAAACCCUUUGCAUUCCCUCGUUGUUUUCACAUUGCUGCUGCUCUGUUGGGAAUGGACUUCAUUGGACAGCGGAAGCCCCCCAAAAAGGGACCAGUACAUCUGUGUGAUGGUUUACAAAGUUUAUCCUCUUCGGUCCAAAAAAGGCCAAAGAGGUCAAUUACGGCUUCUGUGAGCAACUGGAGAGUACAAGAAGCCUGUGUUCCCCUUAUCAUCAG